AAUUAAAUUACUGUAAUAGAGGUACAAUAAUAAAAUCACACACAUACAUAUAUAUACAUAUUAUGAAAGACAAAUGGAAAAAAAAGAUUAAAAUAUAAAUUUGAGUGGUUCAAAAAAGGUCUGUCAUUAAAUUAAAAAGCUAGAAUCUUGUUCUUCAAAAUAUGACCACAUGCAAUAAGUACUACAGCAAAAUAAGGACACACACAACCAAUUACAAUAAUGGAAUCUCCUAAAAAAUGGACUUGCAGUAUUUUAAAACAACAAAACACCAACACCAACUGCACUAUUGGCCAAAAUUAAACACUUAAACAACAAGUUUUCAAUCCUGGCAGCUUGUUAAUUAGUUGGUUGAGAUGGAAUUUGGGCUUCACUUAGGACAAUUGGUGGUGUAUAUUCAGAGCCACUGAAGGAAACUUGGCCCCCAUCUCCAUACAAAAUACCAACCCCAAGUGGUGCUCCUCUUCCCUUCUUUCCUCUCCCUUUGGUUGUUGCUGCUCUUGCUUCCAUCCAUGGCAUUGUGGUAGACCCAUCACCAGUGCUAGAAGAGUGUUGUGAUCUUCCUUUCCCUUUUCUAGUUUGGUUAGCAUAGUCUAAUGGGGUUUGAACAUUGUUUUGAAUCAGAUCUGGACCUUUGUUGAUGAUGUCAGGUGGCAACACUAAACCUUCUCCUUCUUGAUUCCAAAAUGUACUCCCUAGAACUGGUUGCAACAGAUUAUGAUAUGUUUUCUCAUAAGUUGCAGCGUUAUACCAAUGUGCUAAGUAAUCUUCAGGUUGGUGUUUCGUGUAUAAUAUUGCACUCAUAGCAUGAGCACAUGGUAUGCCUGUUAAAUCCCAAGAUCUACAACUGCAAGUUCUUUUUUGAAGGUUAACAGCAUGACCAACUCCUCUGUGGAUUACUUCAAACCCUGUUUGAGAGUCUUCACCAUUCCAUCUACAGUCACAUUUAUUCUGCUCAUCAUAAGACUCCUGUAACUUUUGACUAAUCCUAGGUGCAAUUCCAGCAACAAAUGUGUUCACGAGACUUUUUUUUUUUUUUUUGCCCUCAUUCUUUCCAUUAAUGUAAGCCUAAUAUCCUCUAGCAUAGUUACUAUGGGUUUAUACCUAGCUAGAAGAAUAAAAGUAUUAAAGGUUUCUGCGAUGUUAUUGUCAACUACAUCACAAGAAGAGUGAAUUUUGAAUUUAGACUUGCAAAA